UGUGUGCACACGUGUGCGUUGCUGUUCAGAGAGAAAGGCAUACUGCUUCUGAGGGUAUCAUGUCCACUCAGCAAGCAGAACGGCUUACUGACCGUGCCCCAUGUCUACCUAUCUCCAAGACUGAGAUUGAUGUGUAGCUGCUGCUUCACCGGUAACUUAUCCAAUCAUUUAUACUCACAGUUCAACGGGCAGUUCUUGCGAAUGUAACGCUACGGCAACUUUGUCCAUUGCUGUCAUCUGCCGUGAGACCACCAGGAUAUGAUAUGACAGUACUGCACUGGAGGCCGGAGAGUGCUAGUACUACAGGCCUCUACAUCACAGGCAACGUAUGCCACGGCAGUCCAGGGACUCCACCACUCAUGCAUCAUCCGUCGCCACCGGCUUCGUUGGCUGGGUCACGUCGGCAGGAUGGACGACUCGCGCGCACCGAAGCAAUUGCUGUUCGGCGAGCUGCCUGCCCCACCCCCCGUCCUCGUCACGGCCCGAAGAAGAGGUGGCGAGAUGUGGUGUCGACUGACCUAGCGGACCUCGGCGUGACCACCUGGCUUGAGAGUUGCCAAGAUCUUCCCGGCUGGAGACGAGUUGCGAGUAGCACUCCACCGCCACGGCCCGCUCCUGAUCCUCUUCUAUGUGUCUGUGGACGCCCGUUUCGUCGACCAGGAGACCUGAAACGACAUGCCAAGUUCUGCGCUCGUGUCCUCACUUGAACUUUCCGACAUUCGCUAUCAUUGCGUACGCAAUGGGCAAGAUCAAGGUCAAGGUCUGUGUGCACUUGUGCGUUGCUGUUCAGAGAGAAAGGCAUACUGCUUCUGAGGGUAUCAUGUCCACUCAGCAAGCAGAACGGCUUACUGACCGUGCCCCAUGUCUACCUAUCUCCAAGACUGAGAUUGACGUGUAGCUGCUGCUUCACCAGUAACUUAUCCAAUCAUUUAUACUCACAGUUCAACGGGCAGUUCUUGCGAAUGUAACGCUACGGCAACUUUGUCCAUUGCUGUCAUCAACCACCAGACCACCAGGAUAUGAUAUGACAGUACUGCAAUGGAGGCCGGAGGGUACUGCAGGCCUAUAAAUCACAGGCAAAACGUAUGUCACGGCAGUCCAGGGACUCCACCACUCAUGGUGACUUGCUUGUGCAGCGCAAGGCUCUCCUUUAAAAAAUGAUACAACAGUAUAUGAUGCGUGUGUACGUGUAUGUGUCCUGUUCAGAGAGCUUACCUGUGUUUUGUCGGUUUUGACUGACAAUGGAAUACUUCACUGCGAGAUGAAGAUCUGCUGAAGAACCCGGCCAUGCUGUGCGAACGCUUAAGUCACUCAAGGUCCGGUACAGCAGUGACACGCAAAUGGUGUGGAUCGCAGAGUUCAUGUCAUGUUCUCCAACCAAGUGGAUACGCUUGGCAUUGGUAGAGAUCGCCGCAGAGAGGUUUGACUGCCUUUUCGCUGGUAGAUGUAUUGCUGAUCAACAGUGGAGCAUCUCCCCGCAGGACUAAGAAGAACCACCCACU